CUCAGAGAUGCACAAUCUCAGUCUCCAGUAGACCCUGGUCUUUUCUUAAAUGCCGGAAUGCCUGUGUGAUCCCGUAUGGACAGAAGGAACUGUAAGAUGCUGAUCAUACAAGAUAUGGCGGAUUACCUGAGAACAUCCAUCUUGAUGGCCUGCCAGCUGUUCUCCGGGCUCACUGAUUACUCAUCCUUCUGUAAUUACCUCGGCUGACUGCAGGGUAUCAAUUAAAUAAAUCUCUCAGCAAGUUUGGGAAUGGGUUAAUCCUGGAGUCUAGAGCACAAAGGAUAUACAAAGCAUAUUUCUAUGU